AUUAAGGUGGCAGAUCAGUGCAUAGAAUUUAAGCUUCUAAUAGGAAACGUAAUUAAUCGUUUUUCUUAAUA
rnacentral:tRNA from 1 species